GGACCCUUAGCCAAGUGGUAAGGCACGGGACUGCAACUCCCCCACCGCCGGUUCAAAUCCGGCAGGGUCCUCCA
rnacentral:tRNA from 1 species